CAGUCGCCGCGGGAAAACGGAGGGGGCUAGCGUUGUUCGGAAUUACUGGGCGUAAAGCGCACGUAGGCGGCUUGGUAAGUUAGAGGUGAAAGCCUGGAGCUCAACUCCAGAAUUGCCUUUAAGACUGCCGAGCUAGCAGGUGAGAGAGGUAAGUGGAAUUCCGAGUGUAGAGGUGAAAUUCGUAGAUAUUCGGAAGAACACCAGUGGCGAAGGCGGCUUACUGGCUCAUACUGGACGCUGAGGUGCGAAAGCGUGGGGAGCAAACAGGAUUAGAUACCCCAGUAGUCCCUGUCUCUUAACA
rnacentral:rRNA from 1 species